GAUGAACGCUGGCAGCGUGCCUAAUACAUGCAAGUCGAGCGAACGGACGAGAAGCUUGCUUCUCUGAUGUUAGCGGCGGACGGGGGAUUAACACGUGGAUAACCUACCUAUAAGACUGGGAUAACUUCGGGAAACCGGAGCUAAUAACGGAUAAUAUUUUGAACCGCAUGGUUCAAAAGUGAAAGACGGUCUUGCUGUCACUUAUAGAUGGAUCCGCGCUGCAUUAGCUAGUUGGUAAGGUAACGGCUUACCAAGGCAACGAUGCAUAGCCGACCUGAGAGGGUGAUCGGCCACACUGGAACUGAGACACGGUCCAGACUCCUACGGGAGGCAGCAGUAGGGAAUCUUCCGCAAUGGGCGAAAGCCUGACGGAGCAACGCCGCGUGAGUGAUGAAGGUCUUCGGAUCGUAAAACUCUGUUAUUAGGGAAGAACAUAUGUGUAAGUAACUGUGCACAUCUUGACGGUACCUAAUCAGAAAGCCACGGCUAACUACGUG
rnacentral:rRNA from 1 species